rnacentral:misc_RNA from 1 species
ACACAGUUCUCUCCCCUGAGCCGGAACAGCGCGUAGAGCAGUGGCUACACACUACACAAGGAAUGUCCUAAAUACACUUGUGCUGGUAACGCCAUGGAGAGGAUGUCGUACAUUGCUUCUCUUUGGCUGUUGUUUUUCACCUUCAGAGGCUCCCUCUCAGAGCAAGCUAAACCUCUGUUGAAAACAUCUGGAUCUGAUGCAAAGUUUGAGUGGACAUUGCUUUAUCGAAACAUAUCCUUGUUUACAGUUUCCUUAGAUGGAAACCUUACAUUAUUUUAUACCUCACUGAGCAAUCCAGGAAAUGUUUAUGUGGAUGAAAAGUACACAAACCGCCUGAAUAAAUCUGACAUCAAGCUUGAUAAGAGUGUGACCUUCGUACUCAAGAAUAUCAGUGCUGCUGAUGCGGGCAGAUAUAUUUGUAUUGAAGGAUUAAACUCUGAUCCCAGCAUCCCAGACUGUGGCCAGAUGCUUGUCAUUAUCGAGCCACCUGACAACGUGAGUGUGGUGGCGAUGGGAACUCCUGUGGCUGGAGGAAGAUUUGGACUGGAAUGUCAUGCAGAUUCCAACAGUCUUCCAUCAGAUCAUGGGUUGAAGCCCACAGUUUUGUGGCAAGAUGGAGCAGGGAGAAGUCUAGCCAACUCUGGUGAUAAGUUUCAGAUAGAAGACAACAGACUGAUAUUGUCCAUUGAACGUGUUGAUGAGGGACAGCAGUUUACCUGCAAGGCUUCAGAUGGCCUUGAUGUGUGGUCAGCUAGCAGUCCACCCUACAUUCUUCUUCCUGAGUAUGCACCUACUGAGGCUGAUGUCAAGUUCUUACCUGAGCAAUCUAUAGUGACGACAUUCAUGGGAGAUUCUGUUGAGCAAACAUGCCAAGCAGCAUGUAGACCAAACUGCACACUUAUCUGGCAGAAGAGAUUUGGAGAGGAUUACAUAAAUGAGACAAAGGAUGGAAUCCUAAGCUUGCCAGGGAUCCAACGUGAUAAACAUGGUGUCUAUCGAUGUCUGGCAUCCAAUACACAUGGUAGUGCCUUUCGAGACUUCAUUGUUGACAUUCAGUAUGCACCUAGUCUUCAGAAUGUCUCUGUCAACGGAAAUGCUGUGGACAGAGCGUCAGUGAUGGAAAAUGAAGCAGUUAAUAUGUCCUGCACCUUUGACAGCAAUCCUGCACCUACUGUGAUGUGGACAAGCAAAGAGAACACAAGCUUAAUGUUGCAGAAUGAUAGCUUUGUAUUAUACCAGUCCCACAGAGUAAUGCAGAAUGGAAUUCCUCGUAUUUUGUAUACUUCCUAUUUUUUCAUUGCCCAGACUGUUUGUACUCAAACUGGUGAAUAUUUCUGCAAAGCUAGAAAUCCACGGGACUCAGUCACAGAUGGAACUGUUAAUCUUUUUGUAAAAUGCAUGCCACGCUACACCGAAGGAGGGGGCCUUUCUAAAUUAUAUAUAAUUGAGCUUGGCAAACCACUACGCAUUAAUUUUCAGGUUGUUGGUUACCCAUCUCCCACUAUCAGUCGCAUUAUUUCAGAAGAUUCUAAUGGUGUGCGAGCACUGGUGAGUGAUGAGUGGUCCAUAAAGAAACAAAUUGAUGAUAAAUCUCCAGCACUGACAAAUUUCUCCCUGCAGCUUGAUGCCACUGCAAGUAAAAACUUCGACCAUGAUUAUUAUCUGACCAUUGAGAACAAUGAAGGCAACAUGGACUUGGCUUUUAGACUGAUGGAAAGAGGGCCUCCGAAACAGCCUCACAACCUGACUUGUAUUAAGUCUGAGGAAUCAAGCAUUUUACUGAGCUGGCAAGCUGGUUUCCAUGGCGGUGACAGUCAAAGAUUUGUUGUGGAGUACCAGUCAUUUAGCGAGCCCAGAAAUGAACAGUGGGAGUCGGUGCCAGUUUCUUUUACAGGAAAAUAUUGUAGACGAGGGCAUGGCUGUGCAGAUGACUUUGACAGAUCUGAAGCCAUCAACGCAGUACAUAAUACGUGUCAAGGCAAUCAACAUUUAUGGCAGUACAUCUUCUUCCGUCCUUACUGUUUCAACAACUGCUCUACAACCAUCAUCUGCUGGAGCAGGACCAGUUGUUGGGGGCAUUCUGGCUGUUGUGGUUAUCAUUGGUGUCUGUGCCAUCAUUAUCUACCUAGUGAUCAGAAGGAGGCGAGAGAGAUUAUCGUCACAGGACAAGGGUGCAGCAAAACCAAUGCUCAGCUCCUCAGAGGAAGAUGGUAAAGCUGGUUUGUAUGAACCAGUCGCCCUGUCAACAAAUUCACACUCAAUUCCUUUGAACAGCAUCAAUAAUAAUCCAGGAAAUCAUAGUGGAAAGACAAGCCAAUCAGCUGGUGAUGAUUUAAAGAAGAAUCAGGAUGGCCUGAUCUACGCUGACCUCGACCUUCGUGCCACUAGCUCAGAAAGGCCGGUCUUGGGAGCGCAAGAUCGAGUGAAUUACGA